GGCCAGAUAGCACAGCGGUUAGUGCACGGAUGUUCAAUCGGCAGUAUUCAAUCUGCUACCCUCAUUCGACUCAGGGUCUGGCCU